ensembl:rRNA 5S_rRNA 5S ribosomal RNA
GACUACAGCCACAUUGCCCUGCAAGUCAACACCAGUUACUCACUGAAGGUUAGCAGGCCUGAGCCUGGUCAGUACCUGGAUGGGAAACCACAUGGGAAAACUAGGUUGUUGUUGGAA